rnacentral:rRNA from 1 species
UACAGAGGGGGCAAGCGUUGUUCGGAAUUACUGGGCGUAAAGCGUGCGCAGGCGGCUUUGCAAGACAGAUGUGAAAUCCCCGGGCUCAACCUGGGAACUGCAUUUGUGACUGCAUCGCUGGAGUGCGGCAGAGGGGGAUGGAAUUCCGCGUGUAGCAGUGAAAUGCGUAGAUAUGCGGAGGAACACCGAUGGCGAAGGCAAUCCCCUGGGCCUGCACUGACGCUCAUGCACGAAAGCGUGGGGAGCAAACAGG